rnacentral:piRNA from 1 species
UGCCUCCUUAGCUUUAGGGAUAACGUGGU